rnacentral:tRNA from 1 species
UCCUUGGUAGCUCAGAUGGUAAAGAAUCUGCCUGCAGUGCAGGAAACCAGGGUUCAAUCCCUGCUUUGGGA